rnacentral:misc_RNA from 1 species
GAUGAAGAACGUAGCGAAGUGCGAUAAGUAAUGUGAAUUGCAGAAUCCCGUGAACCAUCGAGUCUUUGAACGCAAGUUGCGCCCGAAGCCAUUAGGCCGAGGGCACGCCUGCCUGGGUGUCACACACCGUUACCCUCGCGCCAACGUCCAUCGUUGGCCGCGGCGCGGGGCGUGCGCUGACCUCCCGCGAGCGGGGUCUCGUGGUUGGUUGAAAAUCGAGUUCGCGGUCGAGGGUGCCGUGAUGAAAUGGUGGAUGGGCGACGCCCGAGGCCAAUCACGCGCGACUCUGUCCGGCUCGGACUCCUGGACCCCUUCGGCGUCUCCGGACGCUCUUUGGCGAGACCUCAGGUCAGGCGGGGCUACCCGCUGAGUUUAAGCAUAUCAAUAAGCGGAGGA